GCUUCCAUCCCCAUAUAUUACAUGUCUAACAUAUUAUUCUCUAGGAAUUUGAUUGCAAAGCUCACGGCCAUUAUUAGGAAUUUUUGGUGGACAGGAAUAGAAGAGGAACCGAGGUCUAGAGCACUUUGUCUUAGGGCAUGGAAGGACAUUUGUAUUCCGAAAAGUGAAGGAGGCCUAGGAAUAAGGAACAUCCAAGCUAUGAACAGAGGCCUUGUUCUUUCAGCGGCAUGGAGAAUUGCGGAAAACCCUGAUUGCUUUCUCUCAAGAGUUCUCAAAUCCAAAUACUUUCCUGACUCAUCAAUUUGGAGAGCUAGUUCAAAAGUUCCAAAAUCUGCCUUCUGGUCAUCCAUUUUAAAAAUACGCCACUUGCUUUACUCGAAUUCUUUUUAUCAACUUAUUGAAGGUGACUCUUCUAUAUGGAGCACUCCGUGGUGUCCUGUUUGGGAAUCCAUCUAUGACCACCUUAUAAUACAACCUGGUCACUUCAUUUAUCCUUCGCAAGUUAAGGAUCUAUAG
rnacentral:rRNA from 1 species